rnacentral:rRNA from 1 species
AGCGAACAUUGGCGGUAGGCUUAACACAUGCAAGUCGAGCGAGGCGUAAUAGUCGAGCGGCGAACGGGUGAGUAAUACAUGGGAAUCUACCUCGAAGUGGGGGAUAACGUUCAGAAAUGGACGCUAAUACCGCAUAAUCCGGGAACGGGGAAGCGCGCUGCGCUUUGAGAUGAGCCCAUGGCUGAUUAGCUAGUUGGUGGGGUAAAGGCCUACCAAGGCGACGAUCAGUAGCUGGUCUGAGAGGAUGAUUAGCCACACUGGGACUGAGACACGGUCCAGACUCCUACGGGAGGCAGCAGUGGGGAAUCUUGCGCAAUGGGGGCAACCCUGACGCAGCCAUACCGCGUGUGUGAUGAAGGUCUUCGGAUUGUAAAGCACUUUCAGUAGGGACGACGGUGACGGUACCUACAGAAGAAGUCACGGCUAACUUCGUGCCAGCAGCCGCGGUAA